CUCGAUGAGUAGGGCGGGACACGUGGUAUCCUGUCUGAAUAUGGGGGGACCAUCCUCCAAGGCUAAAUACUCCUGACUGACCGAUAGUGAACCAGUACCGUGAGGGAAAGGCGAAAAGAACCCCGGCGAGGGGAGUGAAAAAGAACCUGAAACCGUGUACGUACAAGCAGUGGGAGCCCCACCACUAAGCCAGUGGUGAACUCCACAUACGCAUCCUUUGCUGAGGAUACGGUUAACGGAGCGAAAGCGACGUUCAACCGCAAAAGAAGCAGAGGGGGCUUAGUGGUGGGGUGACUGCGUACCUUUUGUAUAAUGGGUCAGCGACUUAUAUUCUGUAGCAAGGUUAACCGAAUAGGGGAGCCGGAGGGAAACCGAGUCUUAAUUGGGCGUUAAGUUGCAGGGUAUAGACCCGAAACCCGGUGAUCUAGCCAUGGGCAGGUUGAAGGUUGGGUAACACUAACUGGAGGACCGAACCGACUAAUGUUGAAAAAUUAGCGGAUGACCUGUGGCUGGGGGUGAAAGGCCAAUCAAACCGGGAGAUAGCUGGUUCUCCCCGAAAGCUAUUUAGGUAGCGCCUCGUGAAUUCAUCUCCGGGGGUAGAGCACUGUUUCGGCUAGGGGGCCAUCCCGGCUUACCAACCCGAUGCAAACUGCGAAUACCGGAGAAUGUUAUCACGGGAGACACACGGCGGGUGCUAACGUCCGUCGUGAAGAGGGAAACAACCCAGACCGCCAGCUAAGGUCCCAAAGUCAUGGUUAAGUGGGAAACGAUGUGGGAAGGCCCAGACAGCCAGGAUGUUGGCUUAGAAGCAGCCAUCAUUUAAAGAAAGCGUAAUAGCUCACUGGUCGAGUCGGCCUGCGCGGAAGAUGUAACGGGGCUAAACCAUGCACCGAAGCUGCGGCAGCGACGCUGAUGCGUUGUUGGGUAGGGGAGCGUUCUGUAAGCCUGUGAAGGUGGCCUGUGAGGGUUGCUGGAGGUAUCAGAAGUGCGAAUGCUGACAUAAGUAACGAUAAAGCGGGUGAAAAGCCCGCUCGCCGGAAGACCAAGGGUUCCUGUCCAACGUUAAUCGGGGCAGGGUGAGUCGACCCCUAAGGCGAGGCCGAAAGGCGUAGUCGAUGGGAAACGGGUUAAUAUUCCCGUACUUGGUGUUACUGCGAAGGGGGGACGGAGAAGGCUAUGUUGGCCGGGCGACGGUU
rnacentral:rRNA from 1 species